UUACGACGGAUACCCCAGGUUUUAGAAAUGUAAGAAAACCGCUUUUUCCAUCUUCAUACUUGAAUUUCCAUUCAUAGACAUACUUUCACUUAGUUGUAAAGUCACCGAAUGAGGGCAAUUUUGUCAAAUAACAAUCUAGUAAUUGUCUAAAGUAGUCUUGACCGGGUUGACCAAGUGGUUUUAUGACGUGGCAGUUCGGCGCCUGACCAAAGGCUGUUUUGGGGCGGGCCCCGCUUAAGCCUCUUCCUUAAAUAAUUUAAUUAUUUACAAAAAAAAAUAUGUGAGUAAAUUACAGCUGGAGUCUAGGUGCGCCCUACUUCUUUAAUAAAGUAAUUUGUUGGGCUUCGCAAGUGAUCACGACAGGAACUUCUCUUGUGAGCGAAUGCAACAAUGCCAGAUGGUCGCGCCACGUUGUGUUGUCCUAUAUGGAAAGGCUCUGUGUAACAGUGUGUUGGCUGUUUGGACUAAGAAGCGGAUUUAUUCGAAGCGGAGUCAAGUGCUGUGCAGUAAGGAUACAAGAUAUUUCGAGGUAGUUAAUCACGUGGAAACGGCGUGACCAAGGGGUUUCCUCACUCUCCCAUGUGUAGCUCCUCCCUGCCCCCUCGCCUCCACUCGGUGAUUCUCUUGUCUUCCAGAAGGCGAUCGCCUGAUCCCUUCCCGAUCGCAACCGUCUGAGGUAAAGAUCGUGGAUGUUUGAAUUUGACGAAGAGGGGGUGUCUGACCUGAAGAGAGGGUGUCCCGUCAGCUGAGGCAGCGAAAAGGAGAUGCUGGACUUCACCUUCCCAGAUAUAUUUGCAUCUAUCCCACCUCCAAUUGCCCAGCCAUUAGAGGAGAGAGUUACUAGGCUAGAGGAGUCAUCAUCUCUUCUACAGGCUUCUCUCGUAACGAGCAUUCAAUUUUUAGUCUUCAUGAGGAGGUUAUUGUUGGAUUUCAGUGAAAUUUGUGCUUGACUCAACCACCACCACCACCACCACCAUCAUCACCAGCUGACGAGCUUUAGCUUACAAGCUAUUUUUGAAUUAUAUUUUUGGAUAUGCUUGUGCUCUUUUUAUUGUAUUUGUUGGAUCCAUUUGACUUGAUUACCAGCACUUUUGGAUUAUAUCUAUCUGAUAAUAUUUUUGCUUUUGGAUA